CCCCCAGGCUCAAAGAUUUGGAAAGAGAGAGUUUAACAGAAAAGAUUUGUCCUUGGAGAACGGAGCUCAUGCUUUCAGUCGGGAAGUGAAUGGAUGUCUAGAAAACGGGAGCCAGACAAGCGGUGAGGAGCGCAGAGUGGAAAUAGCAGAGAAAAAGAAGUCCCCCAAACCUGUUUCCAAACUUUGCAUGCCCAGGAGAAGCAAGUCCGAUGGAGAAACAAAAUCUGAAGUCUCAUGUAGCCCCAGGAUUACAAG